rnacentral:rRNA from 1 species
UACAGAGGGGGCAAGCGUUGUUCGGAAUUACUGGGCGUAAAGGGUUCGUAGGUGGCUUGCUAAGUCAGACGUGAAAUCCCUCAGCUUAACUGGGGAACUGCGUCUGAUACUGGCGAGCUUGAGUGCAGGAGAGGAACGCGGAAUUCCAGGUGUAGCGGUGAAAUUCGUAGAUAUCGGGAGGAACACCAGUGGCGAAGGCGGCGACCUGGGCCAAUAUUGACGCUGAGGUGCGAAAGCGUGGGGAGCAAACAGG